CCCACACUUACUUUAACAUCAUGCACACAAGACUGUUCUUUCUUUGUCUGACUGGAGCUUUGCUGAUGAUUUUGGUCUGUGGUGACACAAGUGUAUAUGAAAGCGAUAAAGACUCAACAGCUCUCUAUUAUGAUGACUCUACUGUGAUGCCAACUACUGAUUAUUUGGAUUAUACAUUUGAAUACGAAGUGAUAAGUCAUUUAAACAGUAUAGAUUAUAGUAUGUAUGAAGUUCUCAACCGAGAUGGAGGAAAGAAUUCUCAACAAAUGACAAAUGGUACAAAUAAGGCCUCAACAACAGUCUAUAGAUCCACUGCUAUACUAGUGGGGCUAAUGGUGCAGCAGUUCUGCCUACAAACAUAACCAGGAGUUCACACACAGACUGUACAAAGGUCAUUUGUUUCAAGGAUGCUGUAGGUCCAGACAAGAAGAAUGAUGAUUUCAGACAAUUCUGCAAUUAUGUUAAUGAAUUGUAAAAUAAAUGAUUGUAUGUUAAUCUUUCUAAUCUACACAAACUGCCAUUUUGUUAUAAACAUUGCGAGGCCUACAUGUGACAGUAAAAACUAAAAGUUGUAAUCUUA